CUUAUUAACUUUUCAACACAUUACGACAGUAUGCAAAACUAAAGUGCCUUCUUUAAACUUGACUAUAUGCUGGAAACUCCUAAAGCCUAAAGUACGUAGGGAAAUGUCCUCUUCGUGACAAUCUUUAUGGAUAUUACAAUGGAUAAUCAGCAGAAAACCAACGGAUUUAUAAUUAUCCUAGUAGGGUCCUCAGAGACUAUACGUCAAGAAUUAAUACGUUAAAGAUAGUAUAGUAAACCUAUUAAUUAAGAUAUAGUCCAGCCAUUAUAGAAAUAUAUUG
rfam:Glomus irregulare strain DAOM-197198 mitochondrion, complete genome.